UGGGGAAUAUUGCACAAUGGGCGCAAGCCUGAUGCAGCCAUGCCGCGUGUAUGAAGAAGGCCUUCGGGAUGUAAAGUACUUUCAGCGGGGAGGAAGGGAGUAAAGUUAAUACCUUUGCCCAUUGACGUUACCCGCAGAAGAAGCACCGGCUAACUCCGUGCCAGCAGCCGCGGUAAUACGGAGGGUGCAAGCGUUAAUCGGAAUUACUGGGCGUAAAGCGCACGCAGGCGGUUUGUUAAGUCAGAUGUGAAAUCCCCGGGCUCAACCUGGGAACUGCAUCUGAUACUGGCAAGCUUGAGUCUCGUAGAGCGGGGUAGAAUUCCAGGUGUAGCGGUGAAAUGCGUAGAGAUCUGGAGGAAUACCGGUGGCGAAGGCGGCCCCCUGGACGAAGACUGACGCUCAGGUGCGAAAGCGUGGGGAGCAAACAGG
rnacentral:rRNA from 1 species